rnacentral:rRNA from 1 species
GAUGAACGCUGGCGGCGUGCCUAAUACAUGCAAGUCGAGCGAACAGACGAGGAGCUUGCUCCUCUGACGUUAGCGGCGGACGGGUGAGUAACACGUGGAUAACCUACCUAUAAGACUGGGAUAACUUCGGGAAACCGGAGCUAAUACCGGAUAAUAUAUUGAACCGCAUGGUUCAAUAGUGAAAGACGGUUUUGCUGUCACUUAUAGAUGGAUCCGCGCCGCAUUAGCUAGUUGGUAGGGAACGGCUUACCAAGGCAACGAUGCGUAGCCGACCUGAGAGGGUGAUCGGCCACACUGGAACUGAGACACGGUCCAGACUCCUACGGGAGGCAGCAGUAGGGAAUCUUCCGCAAAGGGCGAAAGCCUGACGGAGCAACGCCGCGUGAGUGAUGAAGGUCUUCGGAUCGUAAAACUCUGUUAUUAGGGAAGAACAAAUGUGUAAGUAACUAUGCACGUCUUGACGGUACCUAAUCAGAAAGCCACGGCUAACUACGUG